UACGGGGGAGCAAGCGUUGUUCGGAUUUACUGGGCGUAAAGGGCGCGUAGGCGGUCGUGACAAGUCACUUGUGAAUCUCCGGGCUUAACUCGGAACGGUCAAGUGAUACUGUCGGACUAGAGUACAGAAGGGGCAACUGGAAUUCUCGGUGUGGCGGUGAAAUGCGUAGAUAUCGAGAGGAACACCUGCGGCGAAGGCGGGUUGCUGGGCUGAUACUGACGCUGAGGCGCGGAAAGCCAGGGAGCGAACGG
rnacentral:rRNA from 1 species